GACUCGGUAGCUUAGUUGGUAAAGCGCUCGUCUAGCAUACAAGAGUCCUGGGUUCGAACCAAAGCUGAGCA
rnacentral:tRNA from 1 species